CGGUAGAAAUCUUCAAUGGUGGGGUCAUAUUUCUCAAUGAAAGUCCCAGUGACAAACUGCACAACUGAUGAGCUUCUCUGUGCAAGGGUGCCUUUUUGGAGCAAUGUCCCCAUUCGGUCCAUUGAUAUGAACCACUUCAUUGAAUGUCUUAGACGGGAAAGAAGACUGAAUAAUGAUUGGAAGAACGCCGGAGUCAUCAAGCUCUUUUGAUAACUGCAUAUGUGAACUAGGUCAAGUCACUCUCCCUCAACGGAUCACCAGUUUACCCAACUGUAAAUGGCAACAAUUUUGAACUGAACGUUCUUCCUUCUACAGCCAAAAUUCUUCGUUUGCUAGGUUUGUGAAGUGCUUUUAUAUGUAUGAGCGCUUUCUUAACUAUGAAGAUAUCUGAGUCAUCGAACUUUUGGUGGGGGCAAUCUCAUGAUCAGUCAUGACUAGAUUUUAGAGUUUUCUCAUCCCCAUACUCAAAGUUUUUUUUUUAAGAAUAAAAAUGAAAAGAAACAAUA
rnacentral:lncRNA from 1 species